rnacentral:sRNA from 2 species
CGAGCUCUGCCGCCGACCAUCUCCCUACACACCCCAUGGCAGAGACGGGGGACCCAAUCUUUACGGGCCCUUCCGCAUGGAAGCCCUUGGGGUUAAGCCGACGCAGCCGAGCAGUGGAAUCCACUGCCGAUCUGGCGUUGACCGGAUUCUCUAGUCCGUUCCCGACAGCUCACCUCGCAGGCGUAGAGAGGCAAUAG